rnacentral:rRNA from 1 species
UGAUGAAUCUUCCACAAUGGGGGCAACCCUGAUGGAGCGACGCCGCGUGGAGGAUAAGGUCUUCGGAUUGUAAACUCCUGUCAUGCGUGAACAAGGUUGCCUGGUUAAUACCUGGGCAAAUUGAUGGUAACGCAAGAGGAAGAGACGGCUAACUCUGUGCCAGCAGCCGCGGUAAUACAGAGGUCUCAAGCGUUGUUCGGAAUCACUGGGCGUAAAGGGUGCGUAGGUGGCGUGGUAAGUCAGAUGUGAAAGCCCGGGGCUCAACCUCGGAACUGCAUCCGAUACGGCUGUGCUAGAGUACUGGAGAGGUGAGUAGAAUGCUCGGUGGAGUAGUGAAAUGCGGAGAGAUCGAGAGGAAUACCAAAGGCGUAGGAAGGUCAAUGGACAGUUACUGACACUGAGGCACGAAGGCCAGGGGAGAAAACG